rnacentral:rRNA from 1 species
CCUACGAGUGGCUGCAGUGGGGAAUAUUGGACAAUGGGGGGAACCCUGAUCCAGCGACGCCGCGUGAGUGAAGAAGUAUUUCGGUAUGUAAAGCUCUAUCAGCAGGGAAGAAAAAGAUGACGGUACCGGACUAAGAAGCCCCGGCUAACUACGCGCCAGCAGCCGCGGUAAUACGUAGGGGGCAAGCGUUAUCCGGAUUUACUGGGUGUAAAGGGAGCGUAGACGGCGAUGCAAGUCUGAAGUGAAAGGCGGGGGCCCAACCCCUGGACUGCUUUGGAAACUGUAUGGCUGGAGUGCAGGAGAGGUAAGUGGAAUUCCUAGUGUAGCGGUGAAAUGCGUAGAUAUUAGGAGGAACACCAGUGGCGAAGGCGGCUUACUGGACUGUAACUGACGUUGAGGCUCGAAAGCGUGGGGAGCAAACAGGAUUAGAUACCCCGGUAGUC